GUGCUUGCUUCGGCAGCACAUAUACUAAAAUUGGAACGAUACAGAGAAGAUUAGCAUGGCCCCUGCGCAAGGAACACGCUAGAAUGAGAAAAGGUUAUGAAAUUU